UACAGAGGUGCCAAGCGUUAGGCGGAAUCACUGGGCUUAAAGCGCGUGUAGGUGGACGGGUGAGUAUCUUGUGAAAUCCCACGGCUCAACCGUGGAACUGCUGGAUAUACUGCUUGUCUUGAGGCACUUAGGGGCAGCUGGAACAAAUGGUGGAGCGGUGAAAUGCGUAGAUAUCAUUUGGAACGCCAAAGGCGAAAGCAGGCUGCUGGGAGUGAUCUGACACUGAGACGCGAAAGCCAGGGGAGCAAACGGG
rnacentral:rRNA from 1 species